CAGCCACCGCUAAACCUGUCGCGGUCUGCU
rnacentral:sRNA from 1 species